UGGGGAAUAUUGCACAAUGGGCGCAAGCCUGAUGCAGCCAUGCCGCGUGUAUGAAGAAGGCCUUCGGGUUGUAAAGUACUUUCAGUCGGGAGGAAGGUGUCAAGGUUAAUAACCUUGGCAAUUGACGUUACCCGCAGAAGAAGCACCGGCUAACUCCGUGCCAGCAGCCGCGGUAAUACGGAGGGUGCAAGCGUUAAUCGGAAUUACUGGGCGUAAAGCGCACGCAGGCGGUUUGUUAAGUCAGAUGUGAAAUCCUCGGGCUCAACCUGGGAACUGCAUCUGAUACUGGCAAGCUUGAGUCUCGUAGAGGGGGGUAGAAUUCCAGGUGUAGCGGUGAAAUGCGUAGAGAUCUGGAGGAAUACCGGUGGCGAAGGCGGCCCCCUGGACGAAGACUGACGCUCAGGUGCGAAAGCGUGGGGAGCAAACAG
rnacentral:rRNA from 1 species